rnacentral:rRNA from 1 species
CCUACGGGAGGCAGCAGUGAGGAAUAUUGGUCAAUGGUCGGGAGACUGAACCAGCCAAGCCGCGUGAGGGAUGAAGGUACAGAGUAUCGUAAACCUCCUUUGUCAGGGAACAAAGGCGGGGACGUGUCCCCGGAUGAGUGUACCUGAAGAAAAAGCAUCGGCUAACUCCGUGCCAGCAGCCGCGGUAAUACGGAGGAUGCGAGCGUUAUCCGGAUUUAUGGGGUUUAAAGGGUGCGCAGGCGGUCUGUUAAGUCAGCGGUCAAAGCCCGGGGCUCAACCCCGGCCCGCCGUUGAAACUGGCAGUCUCGAGUUGGAGAGAAGUAUGCGGAAUGCGCGGUGUAGCGGUGAAAUGCAUAGAUAUCGCGCAGAACUCCGAUUGCGAAGGCAGCAUGCCGGCUCCACACUGACGCUGAGGCACGAAAGCGUGGGUAUCGAACAGGAUUAGAUACCCGGGUAGUC